GGCCGAUGAUUAAACUUAUCUUAUAGACAAGCACGUAAUGAUGUUAAAUCCACCUUGUCGACCAUUCUGAUAUAUCACCAUCCAUAAACUGAGUCC